UCCAGCAGCCGCGGUAAUACGUUCCCGGGCCUUGUACACACCGCCCGUCACACCACGGAAGCAAGCAACACCCGAAGCCGGUGGCCUAACCCUCUGGGAGGGAGCCGUCGAAGGUGGGGCUCGUGACUGGGGUGAAGUCGUAACAAGGUAGCCGUACCGGAAGGUGCGGCUGGAUCACCUCCUUUCUAGGGAAGCCUCCAGGAUUGGAGCGCCUGGUCCGCCUUCGCGCCGCACAAACGCGGCGUGGCGAGCGGCCAGGUCCUAGCAAUGUCGACCGGAUCUGCGACGCAGGCGCGCGCCACUCUUGGCGGGCGUCUCGCAUGCUGUUGAGUUUUGAGAGACCGGCGGCCAGUCCGGCCGGCGCUUCUCUUGCGCGGUCCUUGAAAACUGCACAGUUUUUCCAAUGUAACGGGUAUCACCGCGUGCUUCGGCGCUUGCGCACCGGAGUACGUGAUCACCGUCAAGAUAAGAAGGGCACACGGUGGAUACCUAGGCACACAGAGAAUAGAG
rnacentral:sRNA from 1 species